CGUCGAUGCCCUUCCUGGGCGUUUCCUCCCUGUAGACUUAGCCGCGCUCGCGUAGCGCGGCUUUUUUUUGUCGAAAA
rnacentral:sRNA from 1 species